AGUGAACGCUGGCGGUAGGCCUAACACAUGCAAGUCGAACGGCAGCACAGUAAGAGCUUGCUCUUACGGGUGCCGAGUGGCGGACGGGUGAGGAAUAAAUCGGAAUCUACUUUUUCGUGGGGGAUAACGUAGGGAAACUUACGCUAAUACCGCAUACGACCUACGGGUGAAAGCAGGGGAUCUUCGGACCUUGCGCGAUUGAAUGAGCCGAUGUCGGAUUAGCUAGUUGGCGGGGUAAAGGCCCACCAAGGCGACGAUCCGUAGCUGGUCUGAGAGGAUGAUCAGCCACACUGGAACUGAGACACGGUCCAGACUCCUACGGGAGGCAGCAGUGGGGAAUAUUGGACAAUGGGCGCAAGCCUGAUCCAGCCAUACCGCGUGGGUGAAGAAGGCCUUCGGGUUGUAAAGCCCUUUUGUUGGGAAAGAAAAGCAGCAGGUUAAUACCCCGCUGUUCUGACGGUACCCAAAGAAUAAGCACCGGCUAACUUCGUG
rnacentral:rRNA from 1 species